GAAGUGUGCCCGAAUAAUAAGGACUAUUUUGAUAAAAUAGACACAGAGACCAAAAUCUCUCACUUCUUA
rnacentral:tRNA from 1 species